rnacentral:rRNA from 1 species
CGGUAGAGAUCUUUCGGGAUCUUGAGAGCGGCGUACGGGUGCGGAACACGUGUGCAACCUGCCUUUAUCAGGGGGAUAGCCUUUCGAAAGGAAGAUUAAUACCCCAUAAUAUUUAGAAUGGCAUCAUUUUAAAUUGAAAACUCCGGUGGAUAGAGAUGGGCACGCGCAAGAUUAGAUAGUUGGUGAGGUAACGGCUCACCAAGUCUGCGAUCUUUAGGGGGCCUGAGAGGGUGAUCCCCCACACUGGUACUGAGACACGGACCAGACUCCUACGGGAGGCAGCAGUGAGGAAUAUUGGACAAUGGGUGCGAGCCUGAUCCAGCCAUCCCGCGUGAAGGAUGACGGCCCUAUGGGUUGUAAACUUCUUUUGUAUAGGGAUAAACCUAGAUACGUGUAUCUAGCUGAAGGUACUAUACGAAUAAGCACCGGCUAACUCCGUGCCAGCAGCCGCGGUAAUACGGAGGGUGCAAGCGUUAUCCGGAUUUAUUGGGUUUAAAGGGUCCGUAGGCGGAUCUGUAAGUCAGUGGUGAAAUCUCACAGCUUAACUGUGAAACUGCCAUUGAUACUGCAGGUCUUGAGUGUUGUUGAAGUAGCUGGAAUAAGUAGUGUAGCGGUGAAAUGCAUAGAUAUUACUUAGAACACCAAUUGCGAAGGCAGGUUACUAAGCAACAACUGACGCUGAUGGACGAAAGCGUGGGGAGCGAACAGGAUUAGAUACCCUGGUAGUCCACGCCGUAAACGAUGCUAACUCGUUUUUGGAGCGCAAGCUUCAGAGACUAAGCGAAAGUGAUAAGUUAGCCACCUGGGGAGUACGAACGCAAGUUUGAAACUCAAAGGAAUUGACGGGGGCCCGCACAAGCGGUGGAUUAUGUGGUUUAAUUCGAUGAUACGCGAGGAACCUUACCAAGGCUUAAAUGGGAAAUGACAGGCUUAGAAAUAGGCUUUUCUUCGGACAUUUUUCAAGGUGCUGCAUGGUUGUCGUCAGCUCGUGCCGUGAGGUGUUAGGUUAAGUCCUGCAACGAGCGCAACCCCUGUCACUAGUUGCCAUCAUUAAGUUGGGGACUCUAGUGAGACUGCCUACGCAAGUAGAGAGGAAGGUGGGGAUGACGUCAAAUCAUCACGGCCCUUACGCCUUGGGCCACACACGUAAUACAAUGGCCGGUACAGAGGGCAGCUACACAGUGAUGUGAUGCAAAUCUCGAAAGCCGGUCUCAGUUCGGAUUGGAGUCUGCAACUCGACUCUAUGAAGCUGGAAUCGCUAGUAAUCGCGCAUCAGCCAUGGCGCGGUGAAUACGUUCCCGGGCCUUGUACACACCGCCCGUCAAGCCAUGGAAGUCUGGGGUACCUGAAGUCGGUGACCGUAACAGGAGC